GUGUCCCAUACGGGCUCGGUGAGCGUGUUGGGGGCGGGUCCGAACCCGGAGGCGGAGACGUCGGAACGCGGAGGUGGCGGCGGAGGAGGAGCGGAAGUGGAGGAUUUGGGUAGCGGCGGAGGCGGCUGAGGGAGGUUGGAAGAAAUGAAGGGGGAAGGGGCGGCGGAGAUGGAGACCGGGAUGGAGGCGCGUGGGGGACUUGGAGGCCUUGCGGAAGGGACUGAUUGGUGAACGCUGGCAUUGAUGAGGUUCUCGAUCUCGUCGAUGUCGGAUUGGGAAGAUGGGUGAAGGGGUAUGGUAUCGCUGUGCGACA
rnacentral:lncRNA from 1 species